rnacentral:rRNA from 1 species
AACGAACGCUGGCGGCAGGCCUAACACAUGCAAGUCGAACGCUCCGCAAGGGGAGUGGCGCACGGGUGAGUAACACGUGGGAACCUACCUUCUGGUACGGAACAACCAAGGGAAACUCUGGCUGAUACCGUAUACGACCUCCGGGUGAAAGAUUGAUCGCCGGAAGAGGGGCCCGCGUCCGAUUAGGUAGUUGGUGAGGUAACGGCUCACCAAGCCUGCGAUCGGUAGCUGGUCUGAGAGGANGACCAGCCACACUGGGACUGAGACACGGCCCAGACUCCUACGGGAGGCAGCAGCGGGGAAUAUUGGACAAUGGGCGCAAGCCUGAUCCAGCCAUGCCGCGUGAGUGAUGAAGGCCUUCGGUUGU